rnacentral:lncRNA from 1 species
CCUCGACCGUUUGAGCUUCCAUAAUACCAUCCGGACUUCUCCGACAAUGAGCUUCUCCAUUCAUUUACCGGACUGCUCCAAACACCCUCUAAACUCCGCCAUCAGCCGAUUUUCUACAGUGAUCAACUAUUCUCCGAAUCCCUUUCAGACUUCUUCCGACCACGGACGACUCUACUCCGAACUUCUUUCAAACUUCGUCAAUAUCCGAGCUUCUCCAACAAUAAGAUUUCUACAGUAACCAGACUCCAUCCAAGUUUUUACGACGAUCGACCGCCUUUCGGGUUCCAUCCGAGCUCCUACGAGAAUCGGAUUUCAGCCGAACUCCUACAGUGGAUGGAUCCUAGACGAAUUUCGAUAAUGGAAGGGCUCCACC